rnacentral:rRNA from 1 species
GACGAACGCUGGCGGCGUGCUUAACACAUGCAAGUCGAACGGAAAGGCCCUGCUUUUGUGGGGUGCUCGAGUGGCGAACGGGUGAGUAACACGUGAGUAACCUGCCCUUGACUUUGGGAUAACUUCAUGAAACUGGGGCUAAUACCGGAUAGGAGCUCCUGCUGCAUGGUUGGGGUUGGAAAGUUUCGGCGGUUGGGGAUGGACUCGCGGCUUAUCAGCUUGUUGGUGGGGUAGUGGCUUACCAAGGCGUUGACGGGUAGCCGGCCUGAGAGGGUGACCGGCCAAAUGGGGACUGAGAUACGGCCGAGACUCCUACGGGAGGCAGCAGUGGGGAAUAUUGCACGAUGGGCGGAAGCCUGAUGCAGCAACGCCGCGUGCGGGAUGACGGCCUUCGGGUUGUAAACCGCUUUCGCCUGUGACGAAGCGUGAGUGACGGUAAUGGGUAAAGAAGCACCGGCUAACUACGUG